CCAAAUGACAUGAUCUUCAGUGCAAUUGCCUCAAUGUUCCCUGAGAAUGGUGUCCCAGAUGACAUGAAGGAGAGGUAUCGAGAGCUAACAGAGAUGUCAGACCCCAAUGCACUUCCCCCUCAGUGCACACCCAACAUCGAUGGCCCCAAUGCCAAGUCUGUGCAGCGGGAGCAAUCUCUGCACUCCUUCCACACACUUUUUUGCCGGCGCUGCUUUAAAUACGACUGCUUCCUUCACCGUGAGUGGGGCUACUCUGUUUGAAAUGCUCUCCUCUCUUCCAUCCCCAGCCACCAUUUCCUUCUCUUUGUUCUGGUUUCUCGUAUAGAGUUCCUGGCUUCUGUUCUAACGUUUUACAAAGGGCCAGUUCUGUUUUCCCUUGCUCAAUUAUAGUGCAACAUGCUUUGCAUGAUAGGGACAGACUAACUAGCAACUUAUCUGUCCCUCAGUACCUCUUAGCUUUGAAAGCAUUGUGUUGAUGUCAGAAAUGACUGAAUUUUGUGCACCCUGAUGGUAGCCGUUUAUAUCGAAUUCUAACUCCUACAAUAGCUCUCUAAUUCACUUUUGUUUCUCCCCAUCUUGUCAAGUGGAUAG
rnacentral:sRNA from 1 species